GUCGAGAAUUUUUCACAAUGGGGGAAACCCUGAUGGAGCGACGCCGCGUGGGGGAUGAAGGGCUUCGGCUCGUAAACCCCUGUCAUUUGUGACCAAGGUCGCCGGUUGAACAAACCGGCGGUUUGAUGGUAGCGAAAGAGGAAGGGACGGCUAACUCUGUGCCAGCAGCCGCGGUAAUACAGAGGUCCCAAGCGUUGUUCGGAUUCACUGGGCGUAAAGGGUGCGUAGGUGGUUGAGUAAGUCUGAUGUGAAAUCUCCGAGCUUAACUCGGAAAAUGCAUCGGAAACUGCUCGGCUAGAGGAUUGGAGGGGAGACUGGAAUUCUCGGUGUAGCAGUGAAAUGCGUAGAUAUCGAGAGGAACACCAGUGGCGAAGGCGAGUCUCUGGACAAUUCCUGACACUGAGGCACGAAAGCUAGGGGAGCAAACAGGAUUAGAUACCCGGGUAGUCC
rnacentral:rRNA from 1 species